rnacentral:rRNA from 1 species
GAUGAACGCUGGCGGCGUGCUUAACACAUGCAAGUCGAACGGAGUUUACAUGUGAGCGGAGGGUGCUUGCACUUAACAAUCUUUUGUAAACUUAGUGGCGGACGGGUGAGUAACGCGUGGGUAACUUGCCGUAUGCAGGGGGACAACAGUUGGAAACGACUGCUAAUACCGCAUAAGCGCACAGUACUGCAUGGUACGGUGUGAAAAGAUUUAUCGGCAUACGAUGGACCCGCGUCUGAUUAGCUAGUUGGUGAGGUAACGGCUCACCAAGGCGACGAUCAGUAGCCGGCCUGAGAGGGUGAACGGCCACAUUGGGACUGAGACACGGCCCAA